rnacentral:rRNA from 1 species
UUCUUCGGAGAGUUUGAUCCUGGCUCAGGACGAACGCUGGCGGCGUGCCUAAUACAUGCAAGUCGAGCGAAUCGAUGGGAGCUUGCUCCCUGAG